GCAGUUAUCUUCGGAGAGAUUCGAAGGAUUCAAAGAGAAAAUAAGGCCAGCCAAAUGAUGCUUCAAGUGUUCCUAAUACACCUUUGGAUGCAAGAGGAUCUUCUGGUGCUAGCAACCCUUAGUUUGCUUAUAAUGUAUUUUGGAUUUAAAGUUUAGUACAAUACUAAUAUUACUUUGUUAUGGAUUUUAUGUCAUACUUUGAUUUACAAUAGAAAUUUGAAUUAUAAAUCUUUGAACUAUAUGCUAUUA